AAUAAUUCAACAAGGAAUUAAAAAUGGCCAAAGCAACAACCCAACAUGGACCAAGCAUCAACACGCCACAAGUGCACACAAACCAUGCGCAACACAAGCAAGAAACAAGCAAACCGCAACAUACACAACCACAUUCAAACCAUGCGCAUUACCAACAUAAAAGAAAGGUAGAAAUUAAGAGAAGAACUUGCAAAGAACUACUUCUUGUAUUGCAUCAAUCGGCUGUACAUUUUGCCAAAAGAAAACUCUCACAA
rnacentral:misc_RNA from 1 species